rnacentral:antisense_RNA from 1 species
AUUCAAGCCACAGUGUCUUCUAUCUCCAAGCUGGUGAGACACACUGCAGUCCUCUACAGAACAGAAGAGAGACAGUGCACAGGAUUGCUCUUGGGAGCUUGAUGAUGAUUGACAAGGUGUACUCUGGUCCUUGCCUGCCUCUGCAGGCUUCUCUCUUCUCGAACGCACUCUAGUCUAAGCUCCAGACACAAAUUGUCGUUGCCCUGAGUGGACCAUGCUCCCUCUCACCUCCCCACAUUUGCAGAAGCUUUCUUCAAAUCCCCAGAGCUGCCUUUUCUGUGACUAGUCCCCAUUUGUCCUUUAUUCACAGUUUAACCUCUCAAAAACCUGCCUGGAAACCCACCCCCAGAAGGGCUAAUGGCCCCUCACUAGGUCUUCCUAUACCAUCAUCCGCUUCCCCAGUUAAAAUUGUACUUAGCGUAUUUGUGAAAUGAAUAACUGGAUGACUUUCUCCAUGCUGGGCAUUGUGCUAAAUGUUUCAAAUACAUAAUGCAUUCAAAUGUAGAAGAGCCCCGUGUUUGGUCCUAUUAUUAUCCCCAUUUUACAGACAAUGAAAUUGAGGUUUCAAGAGGGUAAGUCAUUCCCAUGCUGUCCAGUUAAUCUAUUUUGAAUGGAUGUGGAUAUUCAGGAGAAUCUGAUGAGAUGGGCUGAUCUGAUUCUCUCUCGGAUGCCCUAUGAUUUGACACUACUUGGGGGCUCAGGGGCCUGAUGGAGCUGUGAUCACAACCUGGCUCUUCACUAAUUAGCUGGUGUCAAUGACCAGCACACUUUAGCCCUGAGUCCGUUUCCUCUUUGGCAAAUUGGCAAAAUAAUGACUAUCUUCCCAACUGUUGUUAUGAGGACAAAAAAAUGAGAAGCUGUUGAGAAAGCACGUAGCACCACAUCCAGCAUUUAAAAAACAAAUUUUUUAAAGUAAAAGAUGAGGAGUUUCCCUUUCCUUAAAGGAAGUAAUCUGUCUCUGCUACCUUGUGCCACAGUUAAACUGCACAGGCUCAAUAACUUAUGUUUUGGUUAAACGUUUUUAAUUUUUUUAGAGUGAAAUCCGAGUUUUUGUUGGCAAGUGAUUGAACACGCUGGGCCCAGCCUCCAGGCCCACAGUCCAUUAGGAAAUUUACGAGGCGAGAUGGGGACCUUCAGCUCAAGUACUCCCUUCAGACGCAGUACUUACAAAGCCAUCAAUUUCCUUAACAAAGAGCAUUGGCUUAAAUGCCCCUUAAAGCAGUGUUAUUUACACAGCUAUCCACUUCCUUUUGAAUUCUCUGCCUGGGGGGUGGCAGACCUGCAGUUCUUUCCAGCUACGAGUUAAUUAGGCUCUCUCCCCAAAUGGAAGCAAGCCGCAGACUGAGAUUUGGUAUUAAAAAGCAGCUCAAUUUGGGGCCAUCCGAGAGUCUUAUGGGGUGAUCCAAAUACCACCAAAAUCACUGGUUCCACCCACCCAUUCUUCUAAAAUUCUAAAGCCUUUGGACCUUACCAAAGAGUAAUGACCUCUGUCAGUAUAGAGAUAGAGAAGGAAAGGCAGCAUUUGAGCCCGUCUCUACUUAGUAAAAGAAGCCUCAAAAAAGUACUGCUGGCUAAGAUAGCAUACUUUCUACCGCCCAGUGUAUCGAAAUAGUAACAUUAACAUUUUAAAGAAGCCCCCACCCCUUUUGUGGGGGAACUAGGAUUUGGAUACAAGCAGCCCAGUUCUGGGGUCUGAGCAUGAAACCACCACCCCAAGCCACCUGACCCAAGAUAACCUGCCCGAGAUGACAGCUAAGUGGGAAAGUCUCCUAUUCAAACAGGAUUGUCUGACUCUAAAGACCAGCAAAGCUCAACUACACUUUCUUGCCUGAAAAAUAAAACUGUCUCUUAAGAAAU